UUUUUUAAAAAGAUAAAGACUAGGAUUGUACCAUUCAAAAGCAUAUUUUAUUCAACCUAACUGAGUAAUGCUAAUUUCCAAGGUGCAUGCAGCAGAGCUAAGGUAAGCCUACCUGGAGGGCAAGUGCGUGGAGUCGCUCCAGAGAAGCUUGGAGAAUGGGAAGGAGACACUGUGAUGCAAAGGUCCCCAAAGACACAUGUGACUCACACCCUAACCCUGAAGGAGCUGUCACCCUGAAGUGCUGGGCCCUGGGUUUCUGCCCUAAGGAUAUCACUCUGAUCUGGCAGCAGGAUGGGGAGGAUCAGACCCAGGACAUGGGGCCUGUAGAGACCAGGCCUGCAGGAGAUGGAAGCUUCCAGAAGUGGGCAGCUGUGGUGGUGCCUUCAGGAUGGGGGCAGAAAUUCACAUAUCUUGUGCAGCAUGAGGGGUUGCCCGAACCCCUCCCUGAGAUGGGGUAAGGAGGGGAUGAGGGCACAGAGCUUAUUUUCAUGAAAAGCAGGAGCCAUUCUGGAGCCUCUUCGUAGGUCAGGGCUGAAAGCUGGGGGUCAGAGCUCCUCACCUUCCCCUCUGUUGGCUUCACAGAGCCACCUCCUCAGCCCUCCGUCUCCAUCAAGGGAAUCAUUGUUGUCCUGGUUCUGGUUCUUUUUGUAGCUGUGGACAUCGGAGUUGUGGUGGUUGUUGUGAUGAAGUGGAGGAAGAAGCAGGUAGAGGAGGAGAUGAGUCUGAAUUUUCUUAUUUCAGGCCCCAGGUAGAAGUGUGUCCUGCCUCAUUAAUAGGAAAUACCACCCACACAUACAUGUUUAUACAGCCUGGGGCUGUUUGCUGACAUCCUAUCAUAAAGCACAUGAAAAAUAAAAGACAGAUUUUGCACCCUGAUGAUCUUUGUGAUGGGGGCCUGAUUCCUAGCAGUCAGAGGCCAGAAGGGAAGGUCUCUGCUGAAGGCAAACCUCUGGGAGAGCAGUUGGUUCAGUGCCUGUAAUCUCCUUUCCCCAUGCCUCCUAGUCAUUUCCUGGGUCUGAAGUCAUGUUCUGGAACAUCCUUUGAGUGUUAGUACUAGGGGCUUCCUAAAGGGCCUUCAUGGCCCUCCUCCUUGCUGACCUCUCACAGGUAGAAAAGAAGGGAGGAGCUACACUCGGGCUCCAUAUAAGUAUGGCGAAAGGGAUGAUCCUUAGGAUUGCAUAGGCAGAAGUCCAUGGGGAAUAUCACCCAUCCCAUAAUUCUUCCUUCAGCCAGUUCUCUUUUGCCCUCUGAAUAUAUCUAGUUGUUUUUCUGUUCCAGGGAGGGACAGUUUCCAGGGCUCUGAUGCGUCUCUCACGGCAUAAAGGUGAGACUCUGCAGGGCCUGAUGUUGGAGAGGGGAUGGGACAGAGAAGACCAAACUGGGUUCCAGGACUUUCUGAAUUUGACCCUUUUGAGUGAGUGAAGCUUUGUUCAGCUGUUGCCACUAAUAGCGCUUGACCUGAAUUUGUUCUUGAUUAUUUUGUUCUGUAGUCUGAGACAGCUGCUUUGUUUGGGACUGAAAGAAGAUUUGUUCAAGCCUCCUCUUUGUGGCUCUAAGAACUCCUGGAUUCUCUUCCUGCAAAGUGUCUAAAUGUGUCUGUGUCCUUGUUGGCAUAAUGUGAGAAGGUGGGGAGACCAGAGCACCCCUACCCACCAGGACCCCAUCCCAAUACUGACCUAUGUUCUUUUCCACAGUCAACUUUCCUGUUCCAACAAAGGUAUGACUUAGAGGACUCCAUCACCGACUCAAGUACACUGAUCUUCAAGUUUUUAUUUCUGUACAGAAAAUAAGAAUCUAAAUAUAAAAUUGAUUUUUAAACAGUUGGGGUUAUUUGAAAUGAGGGGUUGAUUGCUUAAUGAAAGAAAAAGAUGCCUGAAAUUUGAGGAAGGAAAUAAAUUAGAGCACUGAGAACCAUC